rnacentral:rRNA from 1 species
GGUUUAUUCGAAGCAACGCGAAGAACCUUACCGGGUCUUGACAUCCUCUGAAAACCCUAGAGAUAAGGCUUCUCCUUCGGGAGCAGAGUGACAGGUGGUGCAUGGUUGUCGUCAGCUCGUGUCGUGAGAUGUUGGGUUAAGUCCCGCAACGAGCGCAACCCUUGAUCUUAGUUGCCAUCAUUAAGUUGGGCACUCUAAGGUGACUGCCGGUGACAAACCGGAGGAAGGUGGGGAUGACGUCAAAUCAUCAUGCCCCUUAUGACCUGGGCUACACACGUGCUACAAUGGACGGUACAAAGAGCUGCAAGACCGCGAGGUGGAGCUAAUCUCAUAAAACCGUUCUCAGUUCGGAUUGUAGGCUGCAACUCGCCUACAUGAAGCUGGAAUCGCUAGUAAUCGCGGAUCAGCAUGCCGCGGUGAAUACGUUCCCGGGCCUUGUACACACCGCCCGUCACACCACGAGAGUUUGUAACACCCGAAGUCGGUGGGGUAACCUUUUUGGAGCCAGCCGCCUAAGGUGGGACAGAUGAUUGGGGUGAAGUCGUAACAAGGGUAAC